GGAAAGAUCAGGGAUAAAGAACAGAACCACAAGGUAUACAUGAAACCUUUUAUUAAACUAAGAGAAGCUCUGCUUCCGAGAAUUCAAGCUAAGCCAGGUGAUUGCCAAUUGUUCCCAGGGCAGUUGUUUCCUGACCCCCAAUUGCACGUGCAUACCCCAAUUUCAGUAACAAAAACUCACAAAACAACCUCCGAGGAGGAAUUCCUUUCUGAAGCAGAGGAGACUUCUUUUCCAACUUGGCCUGGCGCUUCUGGAGCUCAGGAAGGAUAAUUCUCUUCCUCCCAUCUCAAAGAGGAGAAAACAGAGCCUGCAACCACGACGUCUUCUUGAUUCCAGAACCUACCACACUGGGUUGUAUUCCUCUGUUUAUUCAUCUUUUUCACUCCACUGGUCUGUGAUCUUGAAGCCAGGACUAAGCCUAAUCCAUUCUGUAUUCCUGGGGCCUAGAGCUAAAUCUCACACCAGAAGGCACAGAUAACUAGCGUUUGUUAAAUGAAUGUGAGGAGCUCACAGUUUAUAUUUCUCAUCUAACAAAAAGCUUUUUCUAUUUGGAUUAAAACCUCUGGCAGGUGAAGACUUCUGAGAAGUCCCUCGGUGGAAUCCAUAGGUUCCUCUUCCCCCAUUCUUUCUCACCUCCCUGCAGUAUCCCAGGAACUCCAUCCCGGGGAGUUUUGGCUUUUGAAAACUUUUGUGUCUCUGUUCGUGUAUAGAAAGUGUGUGCGUGGAUGGUGGUGGUAUAUCUGUGAGAAAAUGCCAUGUUUCAUUAAAGUUCUGUUGGAAAAUAUUUCCCUCAAUUGUACUCAGAAACUAACAACUUCAAAUGCUUGCUUAUAGUCUUGAUAAAAAUAAACAUACUUUUGUUGGCCAUGA